AGUUUUUUAGCAGUAACAGA
rnacentral:snRNA from 1 species